CCCGCCGCCACCGCGCACCCACCGGUCUGGCGGGGACCACGUUGCCCGCACCUCUCCUCUGCCCUGUGGGCAGUCGGUGCCACUAGGAUCGCGCUUCCUCCCCACCUCCCUGCUGGGGUCGUAACCCUGUCCCCCCCCCCCCCCCCCCCCGACGGCGACGGCAGCUGAAACUCUUGUCUGCUCCAGCCUCCAUGAUGUUCGCUACUCCGGCCACCCAGGAACAGUAGAUAUCCCUCCAGGGAGCAAAGGGACUCUCCUCUGUUGGCCGCCUGACUGUUGUCUUUAGGAGGCCAGAGGCAUCCGGUCAUCCAUCAGCUCCUUGCCCGAAGGAGACUGAGUCAGGGCUUUAGGAGAGCCCACGAAAGGCUCAGUGAAGGAGGACUGACAGUUGAUGACCAAAGGUGAGACAUUGAGAGAAGAGGCCCUGGAAGUGGGAGUGUGCCACAGGCAUGGAGGCCACUGAAGGCCACCGGAGCCCCCUGGAGCUUUACUUCCUUCAGGUGCCAUUCUGGGCCUCUGAAGGGAAACCUCCCACCCAAGCUGGGGAUACUAGUUUGAGUAGGAAAAGCCGCGUGUCCUCGAUGCUCUCCUUCUCCAUUGCCAGCUCUCGUGGCCCUGCGGGAGGUGUCCCAGGGAGGACACCUGCCCUGCGGGAGGUCCCUUUGGAGGAGUGACCUAGGUUCAGCAGGGCCAGUCUCAUUCUGCAGCCACUUCUCAAGAGGUUGACAAAGGUGGUUCUUGUUGAAGGCCAUUGGCUCAGUCUCCAUCUCACCGACGUCAAAGGAGACAAAGUGAGGGUCCCCGUCACGCCUGUCAAGGAGGACGUCACCCCAUGUGCCAGCUGUGGGCCCUAAAAAUGGGAAAUUUCAGUACCUCUGCCACUGUCGCAGGGUGAAGGUUCUCUUUCUCCCUUCAGGGUCAAGCUCAUCUUUGGGGCCCUACUUAGCAAUGAGAACGGAGGCCUUGCGUUCCUGUCCGUCAGUGGUAGCCGUGGCAUCUCCUGUUUGGAUCUCCCCACGCUCCUAGCACCUCAGUCCUUUCUUCAGCCUGCGUCCUGGAGAUUGGAAUCACCUAUGCCUAUGUGUGUGGAUUAUCUGCCCUUUUUCAUGCGGACGUCUCCGCCAGUCACCCCCACCUCAGUCUUCACCGGCCAGUCUAUCGCUGCUUCUGCAGCAAGCAUAUCUGCAGAGUCAGCCUCCCAGCCUCCUUUGGAAUUUGGUGUCACUGACACGGACACCACUUCCAUUUUUCAGAAUUUCCUCUUGACGUCUCCCCCUGGGCUCCAGGGAGAACUUUUAUUUUCCAUGGCACUUUCUGGUUCUGAGAACAUGUACUUCAUGCGCAGCGUGGCCUCAGGCUCGGUUCUGCCAGCUUGUCCACACAGUCAGCAGCCCAAACGUGACUUUCAAACUCCCUGACUCUGGAGCCACCCCCUCAGCCCCUAUUGGGGUUCUGUGAUGGGCUGCGGCCUGGAGCCGCCCGACGGCAGCCCUUUUCCUUUUGGAGACUAGGCGGCCCCAGCACAAGCCCCAGCCCAGCCACCCAUAGCAGCACAACUCAGCCGGGCUUAUGGAUUUGAUAGCCCCAUAUUGUCCCUUUGGCGUCCCUGUCAGCACCUAGCCAGCUUUUGGUGACACUUCAGGCAUUUUCCCAGUACUACAGCUACUACUUCUGGCUUUACAGUUGCUGCCAGGAUGCCCAGGACUGGAAUAAUAGCUCACCAUUUCUGAACACCACCGCAGAUCCAUUUGUGUUUGUGGGAUCUGCGGCCCUAAUGGGUAGCAACAGCUCUGGGGUGGCGUUAGCUGCCCAAGCCCCACCUCCAGGAUGGAGCACUCAGCUUUGGCGCGGGAUGAAGCGGUCACUACUUCCUCUAGUUAAGGACUCUUAGAUCCAAGCUUCAGGGUCCUGCUGGCCUAUAGCACCCCGGUUGCCAACGGAGAGUCUACCUCUACAGAGAGCACAUCUGUCCUGGGAGACCUUUUCCUCCCUGUGUGUAGUCAGAGCACUUGGGGCUAGCUGGGCAGAGGGACAUCUGUGACUAUUGGAGGAGUCCGCACCACUGAGAAGAAAUGAGUGUCAAGUGACAGUUUUUUGUCUCCUGGUAGGCCGGUCAGCUGGGGCCCUUUGUGGCACAGCACAUCCGUUGCAGCUGGGGAGGCCAGCGCCAUCCUAUGUUGGGUGGUGCUUCUCUUGCCGCCUUUUGUCAGACUUCCCAGGGUCCCCUGGCCACAGCACGUGGGCUGCAGCGGGAGGGAUUAGUACCAGUCUCGUGCCGGGAGAUAUGUCUGUUCGUGCUUAUGAUCAGAGCAUCCGAGGCACAUGUGGCCAGACUCCCAUCUCUAGAAGCUGCAGUGGCCAGGACCAUUCCUAUGCUUGCAGGCCCUCGUGUUUCCACCUACAGUCAGAGCACUGGGGACCCAUGCGGUGCAAUAGAAGGGGACAUCACCAAACCUGUGCUUGGUGACCUUCCCACCACCAUUCUGAGCUCCUGGGAUGCUCGUGGUCAAAGCACUUGUGUUAUAGUCAGGGUGAUGUUCCCACACAUUCUUAGGGAGGCAUUUCUACUUUUGCUUGCAGUCAGAAUACCUGGUCACCCAGCCAUGAUACCCCCUUUGGCUUUUAGGGGGCAGCACAACUGAGAAAAUACCUAUGCUCAGAGGCACUUUCGUUUCUACCUUUGGUCAGAGUGUUUCCAACUCUGGUGUGGUCAGAGUAGGCUUCAGCUUUCUGUUCGGGGCACCAUCCAGGGCUUGUGGGAGACAGAAGUGAAGGAACACCAAGUCUUCAUCCUCUCAUAGUGCAAGAUCUGCAGAUCUCAGUAAUUAAGAAGCAGAAGCUUCCACGAAUGGAGCUCGCUUUGCUGGGAAGAGGCUCUCCCUUCUAGUUAUGUCAAACAAACUUAACCUCCUCCUUCCUACCACAAGCUGGAGGUCUCACACCUCGGGGGAUGUGUGUGUCAGAGGGUGUGGGGCAGAUGAGGCUGGUCAGAAACCCAAGACUUGAGAAGUUACACUGUGGAGAGUAGAAGAGAGUUCUUUCUGUAUGUAUCAUCAGCUGACCCCUUUCUGACUUUGACCAUUGGUCUGGCCAACCCCAGCUCUGGGUCAGUUUACCCCUCAUUUUGGAACUGGUGGAUGCCCCCUGCUGCUUAUAGCUACCCCUUUGUCCUUACUUAUUUGCUCCAGUGGGCUCAAACUUUCUGUCCCAGAUUACGUGUAUAAAGCUUUGUUCUUGCGAAUUCA